AACGCUAGCUACAGGCUUAACACAUGCAAGUCGAGGGGCAGCAUGAGCUUAGCUUGCUAAGUUUGAUGGCGACCGGCGCACGGGUGAGUAACGCGUAUCCAACCUUCCGUACACUCAGGGAUAGCCUUUCGAAAGAAAGAUUAAUACCUGAUGGUAUGAUGAGAUUGCAUGGUAACAUCAUUAAAGAUUUAUCGGUGUACGAUGGGGAUGCGUUCCAUUAGAUAGUAGGCGGGGUAACGGCCCACCUAGUCGACGAUGGAUAGGGGUUCUGAGAGGAAGGUCCCCCACAUUGGAACUGAGACACGGUCCAAACUCCUACGGGAGGCAGCAGUGAGGAAUAUUGGUCAAUGGACGAGAGUCUGAACCAGCCAAGUAGCGUGAAGGAUGAAGGUCCUACGGAUUGUAAACUUCUUUUAUAAGGGAAUAAAACCUCCCACGUGUGGGAGCUUGUAUGUACCUUAUGAAUAAGCAUCGGCUAACUCCGUGCCAGCAGCCGCGGUAAUACGGAGGAUGCGAGCGUUAUCCGGAUUUAUUGGGUUUAAAGGGAGCGCAGACGGGUCGUUAAGUCAGCUGUGAAAGUUUGGGGCUCAACCUUAAAAUUGCAGUUGAUACUGGCGUCCUUGAGUACGGUUGAGGCAGGCGGAAUUCGUGGUGUAGCGGUGAAAUGCUUAGAUAUCACGAAGAACUCCGAUUG
rnacentral:rRNA from 1 species